AGUAAUAUGGGUCAUAUACAAGAUAAAUGGGAGAUAGAGCUCAGAGCCCAAGCAGGCUGGAUUCUUACACAAAACUGGGAUCCCAGAGGGUGAAAAUCCCAGUAGGUGAACUACAAAAAACACAUUCCAUGGAAGAAGAUAGUUGAUGAAGAAACUUGCUUGUCAUCCUUGACUUUAAUGGAAAGGAAGAAAAAACAUAAUGGUAAAUGUUUUCUUGGAGAAACCCAAAUUCAUCCAAAACCCCAGGCUGAAAAUUUGAAAAUUUGUUCUGGAUUGGUGAGAUACCCAGGGCUUGGAAAGAACAUAUUUAAAAAAAACUUGGCCUCCAAGAAUUCCACAGACAAAGUUCCAAGGGACAUGGGCUUCAUAAUCAACAUUCAACAAACACAUGAGGAAAUGAACUACCAUGAAAGAGAUUCAAUAUAAAUAACAAAUGCUUCAGAGACUAUAAUAACCUGUACUUACUCAAUAUGGAAUAUGAAAUAAAUAUGUUUAAUUUUUUUACAAAAUAAAACAGUAUUGGAAGUAUAAUGAGGGAACAAAAGGCUAUCAGAAUAACCUAAUCAGGUGUAAAAGAGAAACAAAUACUUCUAGAAAAUAAAAAUAUCUAAUCAUUAAAAUGAGCAACUGGAUGGAUGUGAUAAUAAAUUAGACACAGCUGAAGAAAGACUUAGUGGUCUGGAAGUAUUGCUGAAGAAUGAUCUAGAAUACAAUAGAAAGACAAAGAGAUGAAAGAGAUAGGAGAUAUAAAGGACAGAGUGAGGAGAUACAACCUACAUAUAAUUGAAAUCCCAAAGAAUGGCAGAGAGAAUGGAAAUAAUGACUGAAAAGUUUCCGGUCUUGAUGAGAGACUCUAGUCCCCAUUUUCGACAAGCCUAGUGAAUCCAAAACUGGAUAAAGGAAAAGAAGCCCGCAUUUUGUAGAAAAAUAGAAGAACACUGAAGACUAAGAGAGGAUCCUAAAAAUAGAGAGAAAAGAUAGAUUACUUACAAAGCAAUGAGCAUUUGGCCCACAGCUUAUAUUUCAACACAUCUACAGAAGUCAGAAGACUAUGGAAUAAUAGCUUUGAAGUGCUAAGUGAAAAUAUUAUGUAGAAUUCUACUUUCAUUAAAAUGAUCUCUUAAACGUGAAGGCAAAAUAAAGACAAUUAAAAAAUGUUUUAAAAACAAAAGUGAUACAAUUGACUCCCAAGACACACUUACUAAAGGAACUAAGAUAUAUACCAGGAAGAAGAAAAACACUCCCUAGACGUUUGAAGUACAAGAAUGAAAGGUGACAAAAGAAAAUGUCAUAUUCUCUAACUGAAGAAGCCCAAACUGACCCGAGUGGAGAAACCAAAUGGAGAGACUGCAUGCAGGUGUUUUGGCUGAUGGCCCAGUCCAAGCCUAUAGCCAGCGUCGACCACUGGACACGUGCGUGUCAGGAAGAAGUCGUUGAGAUGACUUUAUCCCUAGCCACCAUCUUACUGCAGCCUCAUGAACAACCUCAAACAUUACCCAGGAAAGACGCAUCUGCAGUUCUGAGCUCUUCAAACUGGGGACGUGUAGCAGUGUGCUAGGGUUUCUACAAAGCUGCAGGAAAACCACGGUUCAUCACUCUGGAGCAUCAAUUUUACUCAGUGGACCAUUGUGCUGUGAAUAAGCCUGGUCUAGUCUUCUUGAGGAUGGAAGAACACAUCAAGAGAGAGGCCCAGCCAACCCAGCCAUAUCAGCAGAGCCCAGGCCAGACUGCCAGCUGAAUGAAGCCACAGUGAGUGGCAGAAGAACCAUCCUACUAACUCAGAAAAUUAUGAGAAAUAAUAAAUUGCUAUUGUUUUAAGUCGCUA